rnacentral:lncRNA from 1 species
GUCACGAUAGGCUUUAUCGUCGAAGUAAAACUAGUGAAUCGAUCUAUUUUAAAGUAUAAAUAUCCGGAAAGUCAAAUUAUGCUAUACCUACUCGACGCCGCUGCAGAAGAAAAUUUAGUCGAAAAUUCCAAUACACAGACGCUUCAAGAGACGCUUGCAACCCGUCUGAUAAGUACGAUGAAGAAAUGGCAUAAGUAUUUACAGAGUGCAUAAGGAGGCGACAGUGCAUUUCACAUUCCCCAACUUAACGCCGAGAAUCACAAAUCUAACAACCAUGAUGGAUUACCUAGUGCCCUAAGGUUCUUAAUUACCUAUCCACCCUAGCAGAGCUAGUGCCAACUACCAACACAAGACUAGACAAGAUUAUGGCUCAUCCAUUUGGUAGACUACUGUGAUAUGACCCAGCAUCUCAAUCAAUUGACAUUGUAAUAUCUGCUGUCAACAGAAGGCAAAAAAUUCGUGGUUCAAGAGGAACUAUGGAAGAGGUGCCUCUCGGCCUAUCUAAGCAUGAUGCAAUCAACUGCUGGCUGUUGUCAAAAGCUGGCGUGCGAGCGUACACAAUAAACAAUUAUUUAGGACAUUAUUUUGUUUUACUAUCACACUGCAUACAGCCUUAAUAAAAUCUGAUAGUCACCUCUGUGCC